GCGGACGAACAGUCACUUGAUUUGUUUCUGCUUACCGCGGAUAUUGAUGCGACGCUCCGACGCUUGAGGUAGCUCGAGACCUCAAGCCGGCCAAGCUUGAGGUCGCGGGUUCGACCCCCGUCCGCCCGCU
rnacentral:tRNA from 1 species